rnacentral:rRNA from 1 species
AUGAUCAAAUGGUUGUCCAUACUUCUGCAUACAGCGUCCACGCGCAUCCUUGUCAAUGGCAGGCCGGGAAGAAGCAUCAUACAUGCGCAAGGUCUCAGGCAAGGUGAUCCUAUCUCCCCGCUGCUGUUUGUUAUUGCGAUGGACGCUCUCACAGCCACAGUCUCUAGAGCAUCGGAGGAGGGAGUGCUCAGUUCUUUUAGAGGCAUCUCGGCGGCUCAACGCAUCUCUAUCUAUGCCAAUGAUGUCGCGUUCUUCAUUCGCCCCACGCUCCAAGACCUUCUUUUCGUAAGGGAGGCGCUGCUUGUGUUUGGAUCGGCCUCGGGCCUGAAGGUGAACUAUGGCAAGUCGACGGCGACGGUCAUCAGAGGGAAUCAGGAAGACAAAGCUAGGGUGACCAACCUGCUGCAAUGCUCGCUGGCAGAGUUUCCUAUAAGAUAUCUUGGAUUGCAGCUGGCCACUAGACAGUUAACAAGAAAUGAGUGGCAGCCGCUGCUCGACAUGGUGAGGAAAAUGGUCCCUGGCUGGCAGAGAGGGUUUAUUCAGAGAUCGGGCAGACUGGUGUUGAUCAAGUCUGUGGUCACGGCCAGGCCUGUUCAUCAACUGCUUAUCAUGGAUGCUCCAGAUUGGGUAUUUGAAGAGAUUGAUGCAUGGGUGAGAUCUUUCUUCUAG